rnacentral:ncRNA from 1 species
AAAUAUUAAAGGCAAACUAAUCGAAAGGUUAGGACGCAAAGCCAAGGGUCUAAGGCUUCCAAUGCUAAGAUAGCCAGGCUGCAGAA